GAUCUUGGUUCAGGAUGAACGCUGGCGGCGUGCUUAACACAUGCAAGUCGAACGGACCCAUUCUCGGAAGGGGUAGUGGCAGACGGGUGCGUAACACGUGGGUGACCUGCCCUGAAGUGGGGAAUAAUUCCGCCAACGCGGAACUAAUACCGCAUAUGUUCGGUGAUUCGAUUCAUCGAGUAAAGCCGAAAGGCGCUUCGGGAUGGGCCUGCGGCGGAUUAGGUAGUUGGUGGGGUAAUGGCCUACCAAGCCGAUGAUCCGUAGGGGGGCGUGAGAGCGUGGCCCCCCACACUGGCACUGAGACACGGGCCAGACUCCUACGGGAGGCAGCAGUGAGGAAUAUUGCACAAUGGGCGAAAGCCUGAAUGCAGCAACGCCGCGUGAGGGACGAAGGCCUUCGGGUCGUAACCUCUUUUCUGGGGGACGAGCAAGGACGGUACCUCAGGAAUAAGUCUCGGCUAACUACGUGCCAGCAGCAGC
rnacentral:rRNA from 1 species